rnacentral:rRNA from 1 species
UACGUAGGUGGCAAGCGUUGUCCGGAUUUACUGGGCGUAAAGGGCGUGCAGGCGGUCUGUUAAGUUCAGGGUGAAAGCUCCCGGCUCAACUGGGGAGAGGUCCUUGGAUACUGGCAGACUUGAGGGAGGUAGGAGGAGAGUGGGAAUUCCCGGUGUAGUGGUGAUAUGCGUAGAUAUCGGGAGGAACACCAGUGGCGAAGGCGGCUCUCUGGGCCUUUCCUGACGCUGAGACGCGAAAGCGUGGGGAGCGAACCGG